UACCUCAAAAAACCACAACAGUCUGUUUCAUCUGUAUAAGAAUCAUCAGGUGAUGAUGAUGAUUCCUAUACGGAUGAAACAGACUGUUGUGGUUUUU